GACGAACCGUCCAAACGUUAUUCGGAAUCACUGGGCUUACAGAGUUCGUAGGCGGUCUGGAAAGUUGGGUGUGAAAUCCCUCGGCUCAACCGAGGAACUGCGCUCGAAACUACCAGACUCGAGGGAGAUAGAGGAAAGCGGAACUGAUGGUGGAGCGGUGAAAUGCGUUGAUAUUAUCAGGAACACCGGUGGCGAAGGCGGCUUUCUGGGUCUUACCUGACGCUGAGGAACGAAAGCUAGGGGAGCGAACGGG
rnacentral:rRNA from 1 species